AGUGAACGCUGGCGGCAGGCCUAACACAUGCAAGUCGAACGGCAGCACAGGGGAGCCUGCCUCUUGGGUGUGGCGAGUCGGAGAGGUGUGGAAUACACCGCAAUAUAUCCUUUUGCGGGGGGUAUCGCAGGGGAACACACGCUCUAAUACCACAUACCACCUGCGUGUAAAAACAGGAGAGCUUCACCCUUCGCGCUUGGAUGUGACGCUGUCCGAUUAGCUAGUUGGCGGGGUAAAGGCCCACCCAGGCGACGAUAGGUAGCUGGUCUGAGAGGAUGAUCAGCCACACUGGAACUGAGACACGGUCCAGACUCCUACGGGAGGCAGCAGUGGGGAAUAUUGGACAAUGGGCGAAAGCCUGAUCCAGCCAUGCCGCGUGGGUGAAGAAGGCCUUCGGGUUGUAAAGCCCUUUUGUUGGGAAAGAAAACUUUCCGGUUAAUACCCGGAGAGAAUGACGGUACCCAAAGAAUAAGCACCGGCUAACUUCGUG
rnacentral:rRNA from 1 species